rnacentral:rRNA from 1 species
CAUCACUACGCUAGAUGCAUAUCAAUAAGCGGAGGAAAAGAAACUAACAAGGAUUCCCUAGUGACGGCGAGUGAAGCGGGAAGAGCUCAAAUUUGAAAUCUUAAAGGUUUUCCCUUGACGAAUUGUAGUUUAAAGAAGUGUUUUCUGUUGGUAGUUUCGGUAAAAGUUCUUUGGAAUAGGACAUCAUAGAGGGUGAGAAUCCCGUAUUUGACCAGUUACUUCCAGCGUUGUGAUACACUUUCAAAGAGUCGGAUUGUUUGGGAAUGCAGUCCAAGAUGGGUGGUAAAUUUCAUCUAAAGCUAAAUAUUGGCGAGAGACCGAUAGCGAACAAGUACCGUGAGGGAAAGAUGAAAAGAACUUUGAAAAGAGAGCUAAACAGUACGUGAAAUUGUCAAAAGGGAAGCGUUUGACACCAGUGUUGUUUAGUUGAAAAUCAAUUAAAUAAUUUUUCGAUUUAAGUAGUAUUGACCUUAUCAGCUUGCUGCUUUUUCUCAGAAAUUAUUGAAUGCACUUUUCAGUUAACAAGUCAACAUCAAUUUCUUUUGUUGUAAAAGGGUAAGAGGAAGGUGGCUUGCGCUUCGGCUCAAGUGUUUAUAGCCUUUUAUCCCUGCAAUCGGAGAGAUUGAGGUCUGCAGCGUAGAUCCUUCGGGGUUAGAUACAUUGGUGCUAAGCUAUAGCCUUGUAUAGACAACUUGUUGACUAUGCUCAGUCAUGUAGCUUACUCGCUGAUGCUAUUUUACCUACGCUUAGGAUGUUGACACACGCGCGUGCUCG